rnacentral:ncRNA from 1 species
UGCGCCCAGGGGCGUAAUCUUAAGGAAGUCGGCGGCAAGUCUCUUGUCUUACGUAUAGAAAUCACAUAUAAGGCAGUGCCUAUGGGUAAGGUUGCCUAACAAACCAAAGCUCAAUAACUACCUAAAAGAACAAGGGUUUAUAACAUUAACCAAAAGCUAUUUAA